UACGUAGGGGGCAAGCGUUGUCCGGAAUCAUUGGGCGUAAAGAGCGUGUAGGCGGCCCGAUAAGUCCGCUGUGAAAGUCCAGGGCUCAACCCUGGGAUGCCGGUGGAUACUGUCGGGCUCGAAUCCGGAAGAGGUGAGUGGAAUUCCUGGUGUAGCGGUGAAAUGCGCAGAUAUCAGGAGGAACACCGAUGGCGAAGGCAGGUCUCUGGGCAUUAACUGACGCUGAGGAGCGAAAGCAUGGGGGAGCGAACAGG
rnacentral:rRNA from 1 species